CUUUACCUUCUUAUCUGCCGUUUUAUAUCUCGUCUCUAUAGUGACUUCUGGUGCUUGAAAAGAUUCAAGUACGGUAUAAACCUCUCUUGAAUGAAUCUCAACAAUCUUAUCAUUAUCUCCUAAUCCAAUAGAUGUAAUCAAUUCCAAUGAAUCUUCCAGUCCAUUUUCUUCAUAAACACCUAAAAUCCUCUCAUCAUCUUGCAAUGUACCUAACUUGCGUAAUUGUCCUUCAAUAUCAUAUAAUCUUUUUCUUUCUUUUCUUUUAAAAUCAUCAACUUUCUUAUACAUAAUAUUUCCAUUCUCCGAUAUACCAAUAAAACUGGCAUCAAAGGCACCUUCAUCUCGCGAGAGUACCUCCUCUUUUGUACCUCCAUAAUCUCGCUUUACAGUGGUACCUCUCCAAAAUCCUUAAAUCCUUCAACAAUCUUUGGCAAUGGUUUCUCCCUCAACCUAUCUCGAUUCCGU
rnacentral:lncRNA from 1 species